GGAUACUGGGAGGGCACUGGGAGGCACUGGGAUAUACUGGGAGGAGACUGGGAUAUACUGGGAGGGCACUGGGAGGGACUGGGAGGGAACUGGGAGGGACUGGGGGGCACUGGGGGGGGGCACUGGGAGGAGCCCCCUCCCCGUGCCCCAUACUGGUCCUUACUGGUCCCCUUAACCCUUACUGGUCUGUACUGGUCUGUACUGGCCCGCACUGACCCGUACUGGUCUAAACUGGUCCCUACUGGUCCAUACUGGUGCCCUGCCCCCUCCAGCCAUUUGCGCAGGCCCAGAGCGGCCCCUACUGGUUUAUACUGGUCCAUACUGGUCUAUACCAGCCCAUACUGGCCUGUACUGGUCCAUACUGGUCUAUUUAUACUGGUCUAUACUGGUUUAUACUGGCCUAUACCGGUCUAUACUGGUUUAUACUGGUCUCUACUGGUCCAUACAGGCCCCUACUGAUCUAUACUGGCCCAUACUGGUCUCUACUGGUGUACUUACACUGGUCUAUACUGGCUUAUACUGGUCUGUACUGCUCUAUACUGGUUUAUACUGGUCUAUACCCGUCCCCACCACCCCGUACCAGUCCAUACUGGUCCGUACUGGUUUAUACUGGUCUACUUAUACUGGUUUAUACUGGUCUAUACUGGUUUAUACUGGUUUCUACUGGUCCAUACCAGCCCCUACUGAUCUAUACUCGCCCAUACUAGUCUAUACUGGUCUACUUAUACUGGUCUACUCUGGUUUAUACUGGUCUAUACCGGUCUAUACUGGUUUAUACUGGUCCCAACCGGCCCAUACCGGCCCAGAACGGUCCCAACUGGUCUAUACUGGUCUAUAGUGGUCUACUUAUACUGGUCUAUACUGGUUUAUACUGGUUUAUACUGGUUCAUACCCAUCCGAACCGGCCCGUACCGGCCCACAAGGGUCCCAACUGGUCUAUACUGGUCUAUACUGGUCUAUUUAUACUGGUCUACACUGGUCUACACUGGUUUAUGCUGGUCUAUACCGGUCUAUACUGGUUUAUACUGGUUUAUACCGGUCCGAACCGGCCCGUUCCGGCCCACAGGGGUCCCAACUGGUCUACACUGGCCCAUACCGGCCCGUACUGGUCCGUACUGGUUUAUACUGGUGCCACUCACCCUCCUUGUCGCCGCCGUUCUCCUUCCGGCCUCGCUUCGGCAUGGCGCCGCCUGGCCCCGCCCCUCCCCCGGCCCCCUCCGCCAAUCAGCGCCCGCCGCGGGGGCCGCCCCGGAGCCAAUCAGCGGCGGCGGCGGCGGCGCGGCCGGGCCCGGGCUCUCCGCGUGCGGCGCGCGGGGCGGAAGCGGAAGCGGGGAGCGGGAGCGGAAGUGACGCCGGGCGGAGUGACGGCGGCGGUGACGUCAGCGAUGCCGACGGUGCUGGGGCUGGAGGGCUCG
rnacentral:lncRNA from 1 species